rnacentral:rRNA from 1 species
UACGUAGGUGACCAGCGUUGUCCGGAUUUACUGGGCGUAAAGAGUUCGUAGGCGGCUUGUUAGGUGAGGUGUGAAAUCCCCCGGCUCAACCGUGGAAUUGCGCUUCAAACCGGCAAGCUUGAGGAGGAUAGAGGUGGGCGGAACUGAUGGUGGAGCGGUGAAAUGCGUUGAUAUCAUCAGGAACACCGGAGGCGAAAGCGGUCCACUGGGUCCUUUCUGACGCUGAGGGACGAAAGCUAGGGGAGCGAACGGG